rnacentral:rRNA from 1 species
AACGAACGCUGGCGGCAGGCUUAACACAUGCAAGUCGAACGCGAAAUCACCUUCGGGUGGUGGAGAGUGGCAGACGGGUGAGUAACGCGUGGGAACCUACCUAGUGGUACGGAAUAACUCAGGGAAACUUGGGCUAAUACCGUAUGUGCCCGAAAGGGGAAAGAUUCAUCGCCACUAGAUGGGCCCGCGUCGGAUUAGCUUGUUGGGGAGGUAACGGCUCACCAAGGCGACGAUCCGUAGCUGGUCUGAGAGGAUGAUCAGCCACACUGGGACUGAGACACGGCCCAGACUCCUACGGGAGGCAGCAGUGGGGAAUAUUGGACAAUGGGCGCAAGCCUGAUCCAGCCAUGCCGCGUGAGUGAUGAAGGCCCUAGGGUUGUAAAGCUCUUUCGGCGGGGACGAUAAUGACGGUACCCGCAGCAGAAGCCCCGGCUAACUUCGUGCCAGCCGCCGCCGUAA